rnacentral:rRNA from 1 species
UAGGGAAUCUUCGGCAAUGGACGGAAGUCUGACCGAGCAACGCCGCGUGAGUGAAGAAGGUUUUCGGAUCGUAAAGCUCUGUUGUUAGAGAAGAACGUUGGUAGGAGUGGAAAAUCUACCAAGUGACGGUAACUAACCAGAAAGGGACGGCUAACUACGUGCCAGCAGCCGCGGUAAUACGUAGGUCCCGAGCGUUGUCCGGAUUUAUUGGGCGUAAAGCGAGCGCAGGCGGUUCUUUAAGUCUGAAGUUAAAGGCAGUGGCUUAACCAUUGUAGGCUUUGGAAACGGGAGGACUUGAGUGCAGAAGGGGAGGGUGGAAUUCCAUGUGUAGCGGUGAAAUGCGUAGAUAUAUGGAGGAACACCGGUGGCGAAAGCGGCUCUCUGGUCUGUAACUGACGCUGAGGCUGGAAAGCGUGGGGAGCAAACAGG